CCGAUGCGGUGAUGAGCCUUCAAAAAUGCAUAGUUCAUCUGACAAUACCGUUGAUGACCAACUUAUUCUUCUUUCGCUCCCAUCUGAUGCAUCAU
rnacentral:snoRNA from 1 species